rnacentral:rRNA from 1 species
AUGGUGAAGGAGAAGACGGCGGCCCUGGAACGAGCGAAGAAGGCGACGGCGAAGACGAAGGGAAGGGCGACCAGUCGGGGUGGAUCUUCAUCGAGGGCCGGCCUGCCACAGGGCUGGAUCCAGGGCGACUGGAUCCGCUCGACGAUUCGUCAAGAAGAUCUUGACGACCUGGCCAAUGGAGGACUGAUCCCCCAUGGAUCGGUGCGGCUCCCGGGGAAGGAGUCUGAGCUGCAGCCUGAGGAGGGUGAGGUCGUUCUCUUGGCCACUCAUGUCGACCGUGGGUUUUCUUUGCAGCCUCAUCCUUUCUUUCGGGGAUUUCUGAAUUUCUUUGGGGCGCAACUCCAC